AUUGAACGCUGGCGGCAGGCUUAACACAUGCAAGUCGAGCGGAGUGAUGGUGCUUGCACUAUCACUUAGCGGCGGACGGGUGAGUAAUGCUUAGGAAUCUGCCAUUUAGUGGGGGACAACAUUCCGAAAGGAAUGCUAAUACCGCAUACGUCCUACGGGAGAAAGCAGGGGAUCUUCGGACCUUGCGCUAAAUGAUGAGCCUAAGUCGGAUUAGCUAGUUGGUGGGGUAAAGGCCUACCAAGGCGACGAUCUGUAGCGGGUCUGAGAGGAUGAUCCGCCACACUGGGACUGAGACACGGCCCAGACUCCUACGGGAGGCAGCAGUGGGGAAUAUUGGACAAUGGGCGGAAGCCUGAUCCAGCCAUGCCGCGUGUGUGAAGAAGGCCUUUUGGUUGUAAAGCACUUUAAGCGAGGAGGAGGCUCUCCUAGUUAAUACCUAGGAUGAGUGGACGUUACUCGCAGAAUAAGCACCGGCUAACUCUGUGCCAGCCGCCGCUGUAACAC
rnacentral:rRNA from 1 species